GGGGAGGAGGAAGAAGAGGGGAGGGAGGAGCUUCGGGCCGAGACCACGUGGCCUGCACCUCCUCGCCGUGAUCCUCCGCAUGGCUUCGGUCUCCUCCGCGGCCUUGUCGAGCCGCGGGGCCCGGCCCCUGCUGCAGUUCUUGCGGCUGGUGGGGCGGCUCAAGAGAGUCCCACGGACUGGCUGGGUAUACAGAAAUGUGGAGAAGCCAGAGAGCGUAUCCGAUCACAUGUACCGGAUGGCAGUUAUGGCCAUGGUGACUCAAGAUGACCAUCUUAAUAAAGACCGAUGUAUCCGCCUAGCCCUGGUUCACGAUAUGGCAGAGUGCAUCGUUGGGGACAUAGCACCAGCAGAUAACAUCCCUAAAGAAGAAAAACAUAGGCGAGAAGAGGAAGCCAUGAAGCAGAUAACCCAGCUCCUGCCAGAGGACCUCAGAAAGGAGCUCUUCGAACUUUGGGAAGAGUAUGAGACCCAAGCCAGCGCAGAAGCUAAAUUCGUGAAGCAGCUGGACCAGUGUGAGAUGAUUCUUCAGGCAUCUGAAUACGAAGAUCUGGAGAACAAACCCGGGAGACUGCAAGACUUCUACGAUUCCACAGCAGGCAAGAGUGGCCUCCAGUGCUGUUAGUGAUGGCAACCUGGAAGGACAGAGAGUGGUGUGAUCUACAGGAUGACCUCUGCCCUGUGGGGCUGAGGACAGCUUGGAAGCAGCAGCCAGGAGCCUAGGAGGACAGGCCCAGGUCCAUGGAAAGGAAAAUUCACUCACCCUGAGAUUGUCCAACUUGUUUCUGAACUUGAGGCAGAAAGAAACGCGAACAUAGCUGCAGCUGACAGUGAGCUGCCCCCCUAAGAUGCUCUCCACAUGGCCGCCCUCCUGAGACAGACUUGUAGUUUUCCAUUUCAUGGGAUUGUGUUUUGCCAGUGUUGCUGUGUUGAUUUCCUCCAUCGCAAGCCCACAUAUUUUCAGUUGUCUGGACAUCAGCAAGAAAUGUGAUGUGAUUUGGGCACUCAAAGUUGCCUCAGAAGAGAAAGUGGCCAUGAAAACACGCUGCCUGCCUGAAGACUGGAUGGACAGUGCUGUUUUAAUGGACUAACUAAAUAAAUAAUAAACACCUAAAACUUUGCAGUA